rnacentral:rRNA from 1 species
UACGUAGGGCGCGAGCGUUAUCCGGAAUUAUUGGGCGUAAAGAGCUCGUAGGCGGUAUGUCACGUCUGCUGUGAAAACUGGAGGCUCAACCUCCAGCCUGCAGUGGGUACGGGCAAACUAGAGUGCGGUAGGGGAGAUUGGAAUUCCUGGUGUAGCGGUGGAAUGCGCAGAUAUCAGGAGGAACACCGAUGGCGAAGGCAGAUCUCUGGGCCGUAACUGACGCUGAGGAGCGAAAGCGUGGGGAGCGAACAGGAUUAGAAA